rfam:Nomascus leucogenys chromosome 3, whole genome shotgun sequence.
AUCUUUUUGUAGUUCAUAAGCAUGAUGAUUAUGUUUUUACAUUCAUGUGUAAGAUGUGCCUCCCUCAAACCUUGUUAUGGUAUCAGCAUAUUACCUGUCUGACG